ACCCUCCGGUUCCCUUUCCCAUCGGAUCUGAACACCGAUCUUGGUGGUCGUAGAGGAGGAAGAGUAACAGUGAGGCUGGCCUCAUGGUGCUUGUAACCUGUGGGCCAGUUUCAGACAAGG